CUACGGGAGGCAGCAGUGGGGAAUCUUAGACAAUGGGGGCAACCCUGAUCUAGCCAUGCCGCGUGAGUGAUGAAGGCCUUAGGGUCGUAAAGCUCUUUCGCCUGUGAUGAUAAUGACAGUAGCAGGUAAAGAAACCCCGGCUAACUCCGUGCCAGCAGCCGCGGUAAUACGGAGGGGGUUAGCGUUGUUCGGAAUUACUGGGCGUAAAGCGCGCGUAGGCGGAUUAGAAAGUUGGGGGUGAAAUCCCGGGGCUCAACCUCGGAACUGCCUCCAAAACUGCUAGUCUAGAGUUCGAGAGAGGUGAGUGGAAUUCCGAGUGUAGAGGUGAAAUUCGUAGAUAUUCGGAGGAACACCAGUGGCGAAGGCGGCUCACUGGCUCGAUACUGACGCUGAGGUGCGAAAGUGUGGGGAGCAAACAGGAUUAGAUACCCUGGUAGUCCACACCGUAAACGAUGAAUGCCAGUCGUCGGGUAGUAUACUAUUCGGUGACACACCUAACGGAUUAAGCAUUCCGCCUGGGGAGUACGGUCGCAAGAUUAAAACUCAAAU
rnacentral:rRNA from 1 species